AAAUUGAAGAGUUUGAUCAUGGCUCAGAUUGAACGCUGGCGGCAGGCCUAACACAUGCAAGUCGAGCGGAAACGAGUUGUCUGAACCUUCGGGGAACGAUAACGGCGUCGAGCGGCGGACGGGUGAGUAAUGCCUAGGAAAUUGCCCUGAUGUGGGGGAUAACCAUUGGAAACGAUGGCUAAUACCGCAUGAUGCCUACGGGCCAAAGAGGGGGACCUUCGGGCCUCUC
rnacentral:rRNA from 3 species